GUUACAGUGGAUGCGAACUAACCAUGCAGCAGCAGCCGGAACCCACAGUUCACCUUGGUGCAUUCCUUUAUGAUGAAGACUUAUUGAUUCAUUAUAUGAGAAAGGAAAAAUGAGCAGAAACUACUGUAUGAUGUGCAGCUCACACCAGACAGCAACUUUAGGUGCUUCAUGCAGACAUCUGUACACCAGAUUUACUUCUGCAAAAUGCUGAUGCUAUGAAUAAUGCUUUUGAAUAUUAAUAAGGCAAAACAGACCAGAUAAGAUUAGCAUAUUCGUAGUCUGGAAAAUGCUAUACAAAGAAUGUAAAGCAUGAAACUACUUGUGGACCAAAUGAAAAACUGUGGAGCAGAUUAUGAUGCAGUUAGACCUUGCUUGAAUGACUUUGACCCACAAAAGCAGAGUAAUUUAUCCCUACUUACAGAGAGAUUGCCCUACGUGUAACAGCUGCAUACAAAAAAGUUAUAAAAUUAUCAUUGGUUUAACAAGGAUAAGUGAAAAACAUUAAAAUUCUCCAACUGAACAAGGUGUGUCUGUUUCAUUGAUUGGCUGACUGUCAAAUCGGAAUCUGAUCUGCCCCAUUGACAAUGCCUUGGGCUUUUCCUC
rnacentral:lncRNA from 10 species